rnacentral:ncRNA from 3 species
CAGGAGUGGAGCCUGCGGCUU